AUUGAACGCUGGCGGCAUGCCUUACACAUGCAAGUCGAACGGCAGCGGGGACUUCGGUCCGCCGGCGAGUGGCGAACGGGUGAGUAAUAUAUCGGAACGUACCUUUCAGUGGGGGAUAACGUAGCGAAAGUUACGCUAAUACCGCAUAUUCUGUGAGCAGGAAAGCAGGGGAUCGCAAGACCUUGCGCUGAUUGAGCGGCCGAUAUAAGAUUAGCUAGUUGGUGAGGUAAAGGCUCACCAAGGCGACGAUCUGUAGCGGGUCUGAGAGGAUGAUCCGCCACACUGGGACUGAGACACGGCCCAGACUCCUACGGGAGGCAGCAGUGGGGAAUUUUGGACAAUGGGGGCAACCCUGAUCCAGCCAUGCCGCGUGAGUGAAGAAGGCCUUCGGGUUGUAAAGCUCUUUCGGCCGGGAAGAAAUCGCGCAGGCUAAUACCCUGUGGAUGACGGUACCGGAAUAAGAAGCACCGGCUAACUACGUGCCAGCCGCCGCCGUAAUAC
rnacentral:rRNA from 1 species